rnacentral:rRNA from 1 species
UACGGAAGGGGCAAGCGUUGUUCGGAAUCAUUGGGCGUAAAGGGCGCGUAGGUGGUUCUGUGUGUCUACCGUGAAAGCGUACGGCUCAACCGUAUUUUGUCGGUGGAAACUGCAGGACUUGAGGCUGGGAGGGGCUGGUGGAAUUCCCUGUGUAGCGGUGAAAUGCGUAGAGAUCGGGAAGAACAUCGGUGGCGAAAGCGCUCUACUGGACCGCAACUGACACUGAGGGACGAAAGCUAGGGGAGCGAACAGG